CUACGGGAGGCAGCAGUGGGGAAUAUUGGACAAUGGGCGCAAGCCUGAUCCAGCAACGCCGCGUGGAGGAAGAAGGUUUUCGGAUCGUAAACUCCUGUCAGGUGGGACGAAAAGCCGUCGGUGAAUAGCCGGCGGUCAUGACUGUACCAUCAGAGGAAGCCCCGGCUAACUCCGUGCCAGCAGCCGCGGUAAUACGGGGGGGGCGAGCGUUAUCCGGAAUCACUGGGCGUAAAGGGUCCGCAGGUGGCAUGUCAAGUCGAUUGUGAAAGCUCCCGGCUCAACUGGGAGAGGACGGUCGAAACUGGCAAACUAGAGUCCGACAGAGGUCGGCGGAAUUCCCGGUGUAGUGGUGGAAUGCGUAGAUAUCGGGAGGAACGCCAAAAGCGAAAGCAGCCGGCUGGGUCGAGACUGACACUGAGGGACGAAAGCGUGGGUAGCGAACAGGAUUAGAUACCCGGGUAGUCC
rnacentral:rRNA from 1 species